AGAAUACGACCCAGGAGAAGAAGAAGGAAAAGAAAAAGAAAAAGAGAAAAGGAAAGGUUUUGAAAAUUGAAAUUGAAUUUGAAAUUCAAAUUUGAUUCAAACUAAAGCAAUCAAAAUAAAUGCACCAGCAUGAAUGGACAAUAAACUCCUAUGAUGAAAGAAUUAAAUUUAAAGAAAGUGAAAAUUAGUAUGCCUAAGAAUUUAAAUGACAUCCUAAUUUGAGCAAAUUUUUG
rnacentral:lncRNA from 1 species